rnacentral:rRNA from 1 species
AACGUAGGUUCCGAGCGUUAUCCGGAUUUACUGGGCGUAAAGCGCGUUCAGGCGGUUUGGCAAGUCGGGCAUGAAAUCUCUCGGCUCAACCGGGAGAGGUUGUCCGAUACUUCCAGACUUGAGGGCAGUAGAGGGUGGUGGAAUUCCGGAUGUAGUGGUGAAAUGCGUAGAUAUCCGGAGGAACACCAGUGGCGAAAGCGGCCACCUGGACUGCACCUGACGCUGACACGCGAAAGCUAGGGGAGCGAACAGG